AGUGAAGGAGAAAUAGCUGGGUCCCCCUUUUUAAAGCCUGAAACCAGCUGGCUUACUGAGGCUUAGGCUUCCCUCUGUGUAAUGAGGGGAAAGCCUGGAUGGUGCAAGGUGUGAUGCAGGUAUCACUGGCAGCAUGUGUGAAGAGGUUCAAGGAGAAAGGAUCCCAGAAAUGAUGGUUUCUUAAGACUGAUGCCCUAAAAAUGACGAAAAGGGAAGCUUAAAGGAAGAUAUUUUGGGAGUGAUUUACAAGGUCUGGGAGCUGCAAAGGAAAGGUGUCAAAAAACUGCAUUCCAGCUAUUUCAUACUCUACUGCGUCUUGACCCAUAAAGAGAUGUUAAAGAACACUUCAGUGCUUGUCAGCUUAUAUACCAUCUUCGGUCUUCAUCUCCUGGUGUGAAUUUAUGUGCAGCAGCAGUAGUACAAGGUAGUUUCUUUCUUAUCUCGAAGGAAGACCACUGUCCAUUUCAUAUGUGCCUUGUGAAGUUUACGAAGGGGGCACAGAGGAAUAUCAAUUUCUCCAGCACUGUCUGCCUUGUUGUGCCAAGCAAGUACUAUCGGAGGAAACAAUGAACUGAACCCUACAACCCUGAGACGACCCAAUACUUGAGGACACAGCAGCCCCUGGCUCUUGUUGUGACAUGACAUUCUCAGUUCGCCUUGUGACCAACCUAAAAGUGCAUUUGAUCACUCAAAACAGCUCUGUAAAGUACAGUAAAUAAAGAGCUCCAUGAAGGAAACUCUAAACACAGAGUAAAACUAGGAUCCCAUUGAGCUUUAGAUAUGAGCAACUGUUCUUUUGUUUUCUGCCUGGUCACUGUAUACUCUAAACACACAAAAGGGACUCCACACAUAACUGUAACCAAAGAUCAUAUUCUCUCUUUUUAAAAAAACAGCCUUUGAAGAAGAGAGGAUUUAAUGAAGUGAUUUAGAGAUCUGGAUUCUACAAGAACUUUUAAUGGAAAUUGUAUGGGUUGACCUUUCAUUUUCCAUCUUGAAACAAGGGUUAGAUAGACUUAAAAAUAAGGAUAAGAAAUAUGCUACUUUGAAUGAGUAGCACCAUUAUUAUUUUUUGGCUCUUUUAAGAGUCUGAGACCUUGUCUACAUGAGCCGAAUAGCCCACACUCACCAUGAAGUUGUUCCUACCUUUCAUCAGACACCUAGAGACUUCCAUUUCUUAUUACUGGGUAAACCAUGUUAAUCCAUUUUAGCCUGAUAUUAAGGAAAGUUGAGUGAUGCUAUGGGGUUUGGCAGAAUCUCCCAAAUAACUACUACCCCUCUGGACAGUACAAUUGGGUCUGAUGUGGACCAGUCUGUUGUCCACAUAGGCUGCUGCCACCAGCCCCUUUUCCCUGUGAUCACCAGCAUAUGGAAAAGGUGAUGGAUUGGACUCAUGUCACUGCUGCUAGACAGCAACAGAGUUCAUUAAGAGCACCUGGUUGUCAUAGGUGCCCUAUGGUGGCAUCAGGAGAGGCACCUACAUGACCAUGGAAAAGGAUGAGGACAACAAGAAGAUGAUGGUCUAAUACAGGGGUCCCCAAAAUAAGGCCCAUGGGAUGGAUGUGGUUCCCCAAAAUCAUUUACCCAGCCCCCAACUAAACUGUAGACUUGGGAUCACCCUAAAUCUGAAUCGAUUUGAAGGAACACAACAACAACAAUCCUGAUUAACUUGACUAUCUCAUCAGCCAAAAGCAAGCCCACACUUCCCAUUGAA